rnacentral:rRNA from 1 species
UACGGAGGGUGCGAGCGUUGUUCGGAAUCACUGGGCGUAAAGGGCGUGUAGGCGGUCCGCUAAGUCUGAUGUGAAAGUCCGGGGCUCAACCCCGGACUUGCAGUGGGUACGGGCAGACUAGAGUGUGGUAGGGGAGACUGGAAUUCCUGGUGUAGCGGUGAAAUGCGCAGAUAUCAGGAGGAACACCGAUGGCGAAGGCAGGUCUCUGGGCCACUACUGACGCUGAGAAGCGAAAGCAUGGGGAGCGAACAGG